AAGUGAUAUAAGCAUCUGAGUGAUUAUUUUAUAAGUGGAUUGUGGGACUGCGGGGCUUGGGGAACCUGGAGAGAAGCCCUCCAGCAACAGAGGACAUUAUAGUGCCUAUCCCUACUUCUUUUUAUUGGCCAUGAGUAUUGGAGUUCUUUAAUUUUUUUUAUAAUGUUAUAUUCUGCUAUUUAUUUAUUUAUAUAUGUGUGUGUGUGUGUGUGUGUGUGUGUGUGUGUGUGUGUGUGUGUGUCUGCGUGUGUAUGGAGGUCAGAAGAUAAUUUACAAAAAUCAAUUCCCCUAUUUUUGGGGAUCAAACUCAGGUCAUCAGGCUUGGUGGCAAGUGCCUUUACCCAAUGAGCCAUCUUACUGGCCCUGGAGUUCUUGAGAAAUAAAGAAAUGCAGAGACAUCUAGCAGAAGAAGGCUCUUUGAAAAGUUCACGUGUUGCCUAUCAAGUUUCCUGCAUUUGGAGAAAUUGCAGGGGUCAGCUCAGCACAUCUGGAGUGCAAUGGAUAAGACUCACCCUAGGAGGGCCACCUUGUGAUCAUGGUAUCUCCCCUUCUAAUUUUUAAAGGCCCUGGAAACCUGCACCGGUCAGACCCACAGAACACACCAUAGUGAAAGAUAAAACCGGAGCUUUGUAACUGGAGACGAGUUUCACUGAGCUUCACCACCGAGCUGGGUCAAGUGUGCCAGCCACCUCACUUGGCUAAGCUUCAGGGCUCUCAUGAGCAAAUGAAAGAAUAUGUUGUACUAGGAAAAAGCACAGUGUUUGAGAUUCCGAACAUUUGGGGCCACCAGCAAUCGCGUGUGUAGCUUACCAGCUGAGAACAUAUCAUUUAACAGCUUCUCCAAGAUGAAGGGGUGAAUUAUGUUCAUCAGACACGAGCUCUUUGGGCCACCUCAUCUUAUGAGCAGCAGCAGUGGUCAAGUGCAUCUCUGGAAUGCUAUAGAGCAGGAUGCAGAACUUCACUUUGAACCUGGGCAAGACCCUUCAGCCCUUAUAGGAAACCUUUGAAAGUUCGAUGAUACUUCACAGAGAAACAACUUGGAAUGAUGGAGACCCACACUGACUUUCUUCCUACCUCAGGACAUAGAGGGAAGUAGAGCAGAAAGCAGAAUCUUUCUUGAUUUAUUUUUACUUGGGUGGCUCUGGAAGUUACUCAAAACCUACGUCCUCCAUAAAAGACAGAACCAAAAGCAGCGUAAGCUGCAGCUUAAGCAGAAACUACCAACUGGACUGUUUUCCCGAGUCCACCUCCAGCCUUUGGGGUGGGCUGUUACACCAAGCUCAAAGCGCAUCUUAUACAUCUUAGGGUUGCCAACGCAGGAAGAGUGCGUAGGGAGCGUCUGGUCUGGACAUCUUCUUGAUGCUGUUCCCUUGUUCAAACACUUUCAUUACGUUUCCAGUGUUUCAGUGAGACCUGAAUCCUUCACACGCUGUAUGAAACCCCUCUAGUUCUGUCUCGCUCGCCUGUCUCAGCUGUUACCAGCAAGGCGACUGCCAGCAGCUGCCCCAUCAGAUCUCUGUGCAAUGACUGGUCUGUCUCGGGCACAGGACUUGGCACACAUUGCUCCUUUUAAGGCUUGAAGGGCAUCAAGGAAGGCGGGACUACCACCGUAUAGGCUUCAGAGAACAAUGGUGACAGCCUCAUUUGUCAGUCUGAGAACCGCAAGCUUGCUAGGUGGACUCCCUGAAACAUGAUAAACUAAUUUUUGUAGAAAUGAAUUGCUUUGGAAGGCCUUGCUCUUUAUGGGGGUUAAGGGAGAUCACACUCUAGCAACUCAACAUUUGAGUUGAAAUAAAUGG